CCUACGUGAGGCAGCAGUGAGGAAUAUUGGUCAAUGGCCGGAAGGCUGAACCAGCCAAGCCGCGUGAAGGACGAAGGUGCCAAGCAUUGUAAACUUCUUUUGUCAAGGGACAAAAUCAGGCUCGAGAGCCUGAUCGAGGGUACUUGAAGAAAAAGCAUCGGCUAACUCCGUGCCAGCAGCCGCGGUAAUACGGAGGAUGCGUGCGUUAUCCGGAUUUAUUGGGUUUAAAGGGUGCGUAGGCGGGCUGUUAAGUCAGCGGUAAAAGCCCGGGGCUCAACCCCGGCGAGCCGUUGAAAAUGGCUGUAUUGAGAUGUCGAAAGGUGUGCGGGAUGCGCAGGGUAGCGGUGAAGUGCUUAGAUAUUGCGCAGAAGUCCGAUUGCGAAGGCAGCAUAGCGGCAGCGAUCUGACGCUGAGGCACGAAAGCGUGGGUAUCGAACAGGAUUAGAUACCCCAGUAGUC
rnacentral:rRNA from 1 species